rnacentral:rRNA from 1 species
GAUGAACGCUGGCGGCGUGCCUAAUACAUGCAAGUCGAGCGAACGGACGAGAAGCUUGCUUCUCUGAUGUUAGCGGCGGACGGGUGAGUAACACGUGGAUAACCUACCUAUAAGACUGGGAUAACUUCGGGAAACCGGAGCUAAUACCGGAUAAUAUUUUGAACCGCAUGGUUCAAAAGUGAAAGACGGUCUUGCUGUCACUUAUAGAUGGAUCCGCGCUGCAUUAGCUAGUUGGUAAGGUAACGGCUUACCAAGGCAACGAUGCAUAGCCGACCUGAGAGGGUGAUCGGCCACCCUGGAACUGAGACACGGUCCAGACUCCUAAGGGAGGCAGCAGUAGGGAAUCUUCCGCAAUGGGCGAAAGCCUGACGGAGCAACGCCGCGUGAGUGAUGAAGGUCUUCGGAUCGUAAAACUCUGUUAUUAGGGAAGAACAUAUGUGUAAGUAACUGUGCACAUCUUGACGGUACCUAAUCAGAAAGCCACGGCUAACUACGUG